CCUGGGCUGGCUUCUAGCAGCAAUCCUCAGAUCUCAGCCUUCUGAGUAGCUAAGGAUUACAGGUGUGAGCCAGCACCUUCACCCACUUUCACUCUGCAUUCUUGUAUUGAAUGACCUUAUUAUAACUGUUGCUACAGAGAAAAAUAAAAUAAAAGGCAACUUAGUUUCUUGCUCUUAGCACUCAUUAUUCUGAUUUAGGCUGAGAUUGAACUAAAAAUAUAUUCGAGGAUCUAAUUAAUACAAAUUUCCUAAGAAACAGCAACACUGACUUUUUCCAUGACUAAGGGCGGAGGGAAGGACCCACCCGAGCUCCACCCACUGGCGUUACAUUUUAAGAACACCUGCUUAAGGUUUACACACAUCACAGUCAUUUUCGUUGUAAUUUCAGUACAUUUAAAAAAAAAGUAUACUAUUUGAUGACUACUUUGUGUCGAAGGCAGCUGGCCUAUGAAUGUGAGUUUUUUAUUCAGUACGCCCCGCUUAAGUUUUUUUGGUUUGUUUUUUUAAGCCUAGAUGAUUACAUUUAAGGAUAAUCACUUGCCUAGAGAAGCGCGAAAAUGUAAAAAGUUGUUGAAACUUUUUGUGAACAAGAUCCAUGUACAAAUCAAGCUCUUUCCUGGUCAUGCUUGCAAACGUUUGUUUUUACCCCGGGGGCCUCCGAAUGCGCGGCGGGCAGCUCGGGUCACCAGGGGACCCUGCCCCGUGGCAGCCUAGGUCAGGUGUGUUUGACCUUCUUGGGAAGGGGCGACCCCCCUCCGAUAACCCACC